rnacentral:rRNA from 1 species
AAAGGUGAAAAGAACCCCUGUUAGGGGAGUGAAAUAGAAUCUGAAACUGUCUGCCAACAAGCGGUAGGAGGGCUAUGUUUGAGUUUACUCAAAAAUGCCUGACUGCGUACCUUUUGCAUAAUGGGCCAGGGACUUAUCUUCAUUAGCAAGAUUAAGCCGAUAGGUGUAGUCGUAGCGAAAGCGAGUCUUAAUAGGGCGCUAGUUAAUGGAGUUAGACCCGAAGCGGGACGAUCUAGCCAUGGGCAGGGUGAAGCAUCAGGAAACUGAUGUGGAGGCCCGAACCAUUGAAGGGUGAAAACUUCUUGGAUGACCUGUGGUUAGGAGUGAAAGGCUAAUCAAGUUCCGUGAUAGCUGGUUCUCCCCGAAAUAUAUUUAGGUAUAGCCUCAUGCGUUCUCCUCUGGGGGUAGAGCACUGAUUGGACUAGGGGGUCGAAAGACUUACCAAACCCUAUCAAACUCCGAAUACCAGAGAUAGUAGCAUGGGAGUCAGUCUAUGGGUGCUAAGGUCCAUAGACGAGAGGGAAACAACCCAGAUCGCAAUCUAAGGUCCCCAAAUUUAGACUAAGUGGUUAAGGACGUGAGUUUUCAUAGACAGCCAGGAGGUAGGCUUAGAAGCAGCCAUCCUUUAAAGAUAGAGUAACAUCUCACUGGUCGAUGAGAAUUUGCACCGAAAAUGAAUCGGGGCUAAGUCUAAUACCGAAGAUGCGGAUUGUAUGUUUACAUACAGUGGUAGGGGAGCGUUCUUAAUGGAAUGAAGCAUUACCGUAAGGAGAUGUGGACUAUUAAGAAGUGAGAAUCCUGGCAUGAGUAGCGAUAAAAGUGGUGAGAAUCCACUUCACCGUAAGCGUAAGGGUUCCUGGGCAAGGCUCGUCCUCCCAGGGUUAGUCGGGACCUAAGGCGAGGCCGAAAGGCGUAGUCGAUGGAAAACAGGUUAAUAUUCCUGUACCACCUGUUAGGAGUGAUGGGGUGACGGAGAAGGAUAGAUCAUCCGUGUUUUGGAUUACACGGUUCAAGCUCGUAGGAUUAAGAAAUUGGCAAAUCCGUUUCUUUUAUAGUCUGAGAAGUGAGUACGAGAGGCCCUAGGCCUCAUAAAGUGAUUGAUUCCAUGCUUCCUAGAAAAACCUCUAAAUUUUGAUUAACAGGUGCUCGUACUGUAAACGGACACACGUACGCGGGUAGAGUAUACCAAGGUGUUUGAGAUAAUUAUGGCCAAGGAACUCGGCAAAAUAGCUCCGUAACUUCGGGAUAAGGAGUACCUAUAUUAAGUGAAGGAUCUUGCAUCUGGAGCUGAAAUAGGUGUCACUGAAAUGAUGGAAGCGACUGUUUACCAAAAACACAGGCCUGUGCUAACCCGCAAGGGGAUGUAUACGGGCUGACGCCUGCCCGGUGCUGGACGGUUAAGGGGAUGGGUUAUCCUUCGGGAGAAGCUUAGAACCGAAGCCCCAGUAAACGGCGGCCGUAACUAUAACGGUCCUAAGGUAGCGAAAUUCCUUGUCGUCUAAUUAGCGACCCGCAUGAAUGGCGUAACGACUUCUGUACUGUCUCGGCCAUAAUCUCAGCGAAAUUGUAGUGCUGGUGAAGAUGCCAGCUUCCCGUUGUGGGACGGAAAGACCCCGUGCACCUUUACUAUAACCUAGCACUGGAUUUUGAUGUUAAAUGCGUAGGAUAGGUGGGAGACUAUGAAAGUUCAAUUUUGGUUGGGCUGGAGUCGUUGGUGAAAUACCACCCUUUUGAUGUUAGGAUUCUAACUUUAAUCCGUUAUCCGGAUUGAGGACAAUGUUAGGCGGGUAGUUUGACUGGGGCGGUUGACUCCUAAAGAGUAACGGAGUCGCUCAAAGGUUCUCUCAGCCUGAUUGGAAACCAGGCGUCGAGUGUAAUGGCACAAGAGAGCUUGACUGUGAGAUUGACAAAUCGAGCAGGUACGAAAGUAGGACAUAGUGACCCGGUGGCUUCCAAGUGGGAGGGCCAUCGAUCAUCGGAUAAAAGGUACGCCGGGGAUAACAGAUUAAUCGCGCCCAAGAGUUCACAUCGACGGCGCGGAUUGAUACCUCGAUGUCGGCUCAUCGCAUCCCGGGGCUGUAGAAGGUCCCAAGGGUUGAGCUGUUCGCUCAUUAAAGCGGUACGCGA